rnacentral:lncRNA from 1 species
AGCCCACUUCUUCAUCUUCUUAGCAGCCUUCUCAAGGUAUGCCCGUGCAAUCUCCGUAUUGCGAUGCCACUCCUUGGCCAAAUGAUAUGCAGAUAGGCUAUUUUCUGUAUACCCCACAACUACUGUAUGCGGAGUGGAGGGUUGCUGACCAGUGAUGAUUUCGAAGGGGCUCUUGCCCGAUGCAGAGCUCCGUUGCAAGUUGUAAGAGAAUUGGGCUAUAUCGAGCAACUUCAC